UAACGAAUCUGAUGAUGGAGAACAUGAGAAGCAACAAGGGCUAAAGCAAGAACGUGAGAGUUUGGAGAAGAAAAGAUGAAGAAGGGUUGAGAGGAAGAACAAGCAGAAUUAGUUGACGAUUUGAGUGUAGUAAAACAAAGAAAUCAGAGUUAUCCUUGCUCGAGUAUGAUUAUGUUCCCAAGCUGGUUGUAUUCGUGGAUUCGAAUCUGCCAUGUCUAGCACGCCAAGUGUUCGACGAUAUUCCACACUUGAAUGUUGUCUCUGCUACAUCAGAAAUAUAAACGCAAUUUUGUAUCACAGAUGGAUACUCAACAUUGUUGAAAGUUUUCAUCUCUUGUUCUUGAGGAGGAUGAAGAAGUAUGGAUUACAAAUUCUUUUGGUCAAGGCUAGUUUAAUUCCCAUUUCCAAACUAAUUCAGGCUAUCCACAAGCUUUCCUUUCGGCAUCAAGACUUCAA